CGCGCCGCUGCCCAGCGG
rnacentral:miRNA from 1 species